rnacentral:rRNA from 1 species
AUGUCUUCCUCCUCCGCCUCCGGUGCCUUCUCCUCAAACCUCAAUAGCCAGGUCACGGAGAAGCCGUCCCGCACGAACUAUGUGCUAUGGCGAACGCAAAUCACCCCCCAACUGCGUGGUGCCGGCGUCUACGGCUACGUUGACGGCACCACACCGGAGCCGGCGAAGCUCCUCAUCACCACCAAAGAAGGCAAGGAGACUUCAUCACCCAACCCUCUCCACCCUCUCUGGGUCCGGGAGGACCAGCAGGUCCUUGGCUUCCUGCUGGCCAACCUCACAAAGGAGGUUCUGGUGACGGUGACCACGGUCACCACGGCGAGCGCGCUCUGGAGGACGCUCGCUGCCAUGUUCUCGUCGCACUCGGCGAGCCGCAUCAACAACAUCCACACCUCCCUCAUCAAUGUGCAGAAGGGUAAUCUCUCGGUUGCCUCUUACUUUGCUGCCAUGCGAGGAUUUGCAGAUGAACUAGCCGCGGUGGGCAAGGCCAUCCAGGAUGACGAACUAGUCUCCUACAUCAUCCACGGGCUAGACGCCGAUUACCAGCCUUUGGUGUCUGCUCUCGACGCUCGUGUGACCCCCGUCACACUCAAUGAACUCUACGCCAUGCUCUCCAACUUCGACCAGCGUGUGGCUCAUUACCACGGGUCCGGCGGCGGCGGCGGCUUCAAGUCUUCAGCCAACAUGGCGUCGCGUGGGCGGGGUAGCGGCUCCCGUUCACGUGGCCCUCCUCUAAACAAAGGGCGAUCUGGUGGCGGCGGCGGCAGUGACCGCGGCUCCUCUCCUCAGCGCACGGGCGGCAGAGGCCGCGGCCGUAGCGGUCGUGGCAGCGGCAACAGAACGCGCCCCGACACUCCAUGCUGCCAAAUCUGCGGGAAACCUGGACACACAGCAAAGGAUUGCUGGUACAGGUAUGACGAGGAUGAUGAUGAUUCCCAGGACGAUGUUGCUGCGGCGGCUGAUGGGUCCUACGGCGUCGACACAAAUUGGUACGUCGAUAGUGGGGCCACAAACCACAUCACCAAUGAACUCGAGAAGGUGACCAUGAAGGAAAAAUAUCGCGGCAAGGAUCAAAUCCACACUGCUAGCGGAGAAGGAUCAGGCAACGAGGGAAAU